rnacentral:rRNA from 1 species
AGAGUUUGAUCCUGGCUCAGAAUGAACGCUGGCGGCGUGCCUAACACAUGCAAGUCGAACGAGAAAGCGGACUUCGGUCCGUUAGUAAAGUGGCAGACGGGUGAGUAACACGUGGGUAACCUGCCCGAAGGUGGGGGAUAACCCUCCGAAAGGAGGGCUAAUACCGCAUAAUAUCACGAGCUCCUCGGGGUUUGUGAUCAAAGCUAGCCUCUAUUUAUAUGCUAGUGCCAACGGAGGGGCCCGCGCCCCAUUAGUUUGAUGGUGAGGUAACGGCUCACCAUGACUACGAUGGGUAGCCGGCCUGAGAGGGUGAUCGGCCACACUGGAACUGAGACACGGUCCAGACUCCUACGGGAGGCAGCUGUGAGGAAUUUUGCGCAAUGGGCGAAAGCCUGACGCAGCGACGCCGCGUGGAGGAGGAAGGCCUUCGGGUCGUAAACUCCUGUCAAGGGGGACGAACGCGGGGCGGAUGAAUAAGCCGCUUCGUUGACGGUACCUCUGAAGGAAGCCCCGGCUAACUCCGUGCCAGCAGCCGCGGUAAUACGGAGGGGGCGAGCGUUGUUCGGAAUUAUUGGGCGUAAAGGGCGCGUAGGCGGCCUGGCAAGUCAGUUGUGAAAUCCCUCGGCUCAACCAAGGAACUGCGACUGAAACUGCCAGGCUUGAGUCCCGGAGAGGGUAGUGGAAUUCCCAGUGUAGCGGUGAAAUGCGUAGAUAUUGGGAGGAACACCGGUGGCGAAGGCGGCUUUCUGGACCGAUACUGACGCUGAGAUGCGAAAGCGUGGGAGCAAACAGGAUUAGAUACCCUGGUAGUCCACGCCGUAAACGAUGGGUACUAGGUGUUGCGGGUAUUGACCCCCUGCAGUGCC